UGGGGAAUAUUGGACAAUGGGCGCAAGCCUGAUCCAGCCAUGCCGCGUGAGUGAUGACGGCCCUAGGGUUGUAAAGCUCUUUCAGUGGGGAAGAUAAUGACGGUACCCACAGAAGAAGCCCCGGCUAACUUCGUGCCAGCAGCCGCGGUAAUACGAAGGGGGCUAGCGUUGUUCGGAAUUACUGGGCGUAAAGCGCACGUAGGCGGAUCGGUCAGUUAGGGGUGAAAUCCCGGGGCUCAACCCCGGAACUGCCUUUAAUACUGCCGGUCUAGAGUUCGAGAGAGGUGAGUGGAAUUCCGAGUGUAGAGGUGAAAUUCGUAGAUAUUCGGAGGAACACCAGUGGCGAAGGCGGCUCACUGGCUCGAUACUGACGCUGAGGUGCGAAAGCGUGGGGAGCAAACAG
rnacentral:rRNA from 1 species